AUUGAACGCUGGCGGCAGGCCUAACACAUGCAAGUCGAGCGAGCGGCGGACGGGUGAGUAAUGUCUGGGAAACUGCCUGAUGGAGGGGGAUAACUACUGUAAACGGUAGCUAAUACCGCAUACCCUCAGAUGUGCCCAGAUGGGAUUAGCUAGUGGGUGGGGUAACGGCUCACCUAGGCGACGAUCCCUAGCUGGUCUGAGAGGAUGACAAGCCAUACGGGAACUGAGACACGGUCCAGACUCCUACGGGAGGCAGCAGUGGGGAAUAUUGCACAAUGGGCGCAAGCCUGAUGCAGCCAUGCCGCGUGUGUGAAGAAGGCCUUCGGGUUGUAAAGCACUUUCAGCGGGGAGGCGUUACCCGCAGAAGAAGCACCGGCUAACUCCGUGCCAGUAGCCGCGGUAAUAC
rnacentral:rRNA from 1 species